ensembl:lncRNA
GGAACUCCAGAAUAAGCUGUCAAAGGAGGACUGGAGACCAGGCAUUUAGAAAAGGGAUGGAGACGUUCACCUGCGAAGGGUGUGAGGGACUUGGCCUUCAGACAACCGACUGGCCAGAUGCAAAGCACAAACGUUUGAAGGAAAAAAUGAAAAACGGCCAAGUUCACCGUGUUUACAUUAGUCUACUCACGGUGAAAAAGAAGCAGCUUUCUCACAUAAUCAUCCUAUUUACAACACAUCCUCAGAUCUCAGCACUGCAAAACUCAGGGAUUAAAGUGUUCCGUUAGGGGGUCCAAAUUUCUGGGAAGUAUUCAAGGCUUAUUAUUUUGGGAACCAGAACCAGUUAGGACAACCCUGUCGGUUUGUUUUUUUCUUUUUUUCCUGACUGUGGCAUGUGAGUGCUUAGUCAUCCUGGAAACAGGGCAAGGUGUCAGCUUUUGUUUCUGCAAUGCUCCACACACGCUUGUUAAAUUAACUGAACUGAAGUUGAUGGUCCCUCACAGGAUGGUAAAAACUGUGGUCUCCAGAGAAGCCUCGUGGAGAUAAUGGACAGGUGCUUAUACAAGGUCCUCUUGGCUCACCUGACGUUGGCGUCUGGGGCCCCUGACCUUGGCCCAUCUUAUUGGAGAAGAAGCGGCUGCUUGAGCUGAUCCAGGCGAUUCCUCUGCCGGCUAGCUCCUGCCUCUUACCUUCACAGACCCCAACUGGUGAGCUCCUCUCCCUCCCCCAGGACGCUGAUGCCAGCUCCCCACUUCAGUGUUCCUGCUCUUGCUUCCAGAGCCACGUCCUCCUGGAACCUUCCCUCUCUCACCAAGCUCACAUCCAAUGGCUCUUCCCUCUCACUCUGGCUUUACACCCAUCGAACUGUGAGGAUUUGGGAACCCCUGCCUCUCUGGUGGUGUGUUUAGUGCCUGUGUGUUAUAGCUUUCCUUUCAGACUGGGGACUCCCUGGGCGCAGGGGCUGUCUCUUUUGCAUCUGCCACACUUGGAUCCUUCCGAAGGUAGGGACUCUCUCCUCUUUUCCUUCUCAGAUCUGGUGCCUCCUGAGGGCAGGGGUUGUGUCUCCUUCUGCUGGACUUCUCUGCCACCGUAUUAGUGCAGGGGUCUGACUCUUUCAACAGAUGUCUUCAGCCCAAGGACCAAGGUGACAAUCUUAAACUCCCAUCCACUAGGCCAUUCUGCCCCUUCUCUCCAUUUGGAUAUCUAGAGGUAAGUAGGAGCUAAUGAAUGCCUCUGUGAGCUCUGAAACUCCUCUGCAAAUGUGUUGCUCUUGCUUGUCUGAAUAGCCCUUCUCACCAUAAGUGAUGGUCCUCUCAUUGGGAUUGUUUUUAAUGCCAGGAGAAAAGGAAUGUUGGCAAGACACAAAGCCAGACCCCACCCCCACUGUGCUGUGAUGGGCUCGGAAAGCACCCCCUCACCCCACUGAGCAAUGCCACUGCUGACCUUGGGAACAGUAUUCUGCCUUUUGAGCCUCAGUUUCUCCCCAGGAUGUUAAAGACUAAAUGGGAUGUUGUAUGUAAGGGUCUGGCCUCAGCAGACGCUGGUUCCCUUUCUUUUCCACACUCUGCCUUAACUUCUGGCUCUUCCACAGUGGAGACAUUUCUGUGGCUCCUCCACUAAGUACUGAAUUCGUGAGACACGUAGAGCAGAGCUACGUGGAUCUCCUGUGCUCUGGCCAGGAGAGAUUCAGAGAACAGUGCGAACUUCCGUUAGGGGCCUUCAGCACUGACACUGGCGGCUAGAGGCAUCUUAAGCCCAGGCCCUUUGGAUUGAAAUGAGAUAAGCAGGUCCCUUCUGGAGCCUGGGAAAUGGGUGAAGUUAGAAGAGAACAAUUUAUAUAGUAAGAAGAUUACAGCAGACAGCAUAAUGGUUCCCCAAAGAUGUCCACAUCCUAAUUCCCAGAACCCAGGAAUACAUUACCUCACAUGGGAAAAGUGGCUUUGAAGACGUAUCUCAGCUAAGGAUCCUGAGAUGGGGAGAUUAUCUUGGAUUAUCUGGGUGGCCCAAUGGAAUCCCAUGAGUCUUUUAGACACAGAAAAGGGGACGUGAUGAUGGAAGUGGAGUUUGGAGCCAUGUGCUUUGAAGGUGGAG